rnacentral:rRNA from 1 species
CAGCCGCCGCGGGAAUACGAAGGGUGCAAGCGUUAAUCGGAAUUACUGGGCGUAAAGCGUGCGUAGGCGGUGAGUUAAGUCUGCUGUGAAAUCCCCGGGCUCAACCUGGGGAUGGCAGUGGAUACUGGCUCGCUAGAGUGUGUCAGAGGAUGGUGGAAUUCCCGGUGUAGCGGUGAAAUGCGUAGAGAUCGGGAGGAACAUCAGUGGCGAAGGCGGCCAUCUGGGACAACACUGACGCUGAGGCACAAAGCGUGGGGAGCAAACAGGAUUAGAUACCCCAGUAGUCCCUGUCUCUUAUACA